ACAAUAUUCCUUGUUAAAAUACUGGAAGAAUUGGAAACAAGCUUUCUUCACAUUACGAAGGACAAAACCUUUUUAUGCCUUUGCAUUUUAAAUUAAGAUACAAAAGGUUUAUUUCCCUCGGAGUUCUGUUUUCGUAAAUGUACCAUUUUGUAUUCUAAGAACAGAUAAGAUACCCUGAUUAUAAACUAGUUUUUAUAAAUACCAAAGAUGAAAGUCCCUUUUUAAAAUUUUUUUUUUUUGCUUUAACCACAGAAAUACUCACUGAAGUGUUUUGGAAAUGCUGCUUUCAUCCUUGUAAAACCAUCCAAGCAAGCAAAGGACAUACAGAUCCUCAGAGAUGGAGAUAAAAUUUGGAAUUAUUUGGACAGAACAACAGUAAAUAAUAAUAAAUCAAGAACAUGGUGAUAGCAUUCUUUUGCAGGGAACAUCUUCAAUGAGGUAUAUUGACACAGAUGUUUCCUGAAAGAGCAAGUAGAGAUCCCUGAAGCAUUUGCUGCAGAAGUGCAGAUGUCUGCUUUGGUGAGGAAUAUUAUCGCCAUGAAAGUAAACAGGAUUUUGCAAGGGUACAGUUUCUGUUCAGCUUAAGAACAUGCUCUUGUUUCUCCUUUCUGGAUUUCCAGAUGAGGAAGAGGUUCUAACACUCCUCCUGAGGGGAGAGUUACCUGUGGAAGAAGCAUUGUGCCAACUGCUUCCAGCUUCUCAGAGGCUCUCAGUGUUACAGCAGAGAACACAGGGAAACAAGACCAUCUCUGCAUGGCAUCAGACUUCACGCACAAUUUCAGUCUCCGAUUUGCUGGGUGAGAACUGCACAGCUCUUACUUGGCUGAAACCACAGAGAGAGAGACUAUCUGCACAGUUGGCUGCAGGAGACGCCCAGUGAGCUAUUUCAUGGGAUUUGGGGAUUGCUGCCUCAUGAGAGGGAUCCUUCAUGGUUUCUCACUUGGUAGAUCUGUGCUGUGUUUAAAUUCCACUAUCAGAUAUUCAGGAAUAAACUCCAAAGGGCAAGGUGUGAACAUGUACUUCAGGGCAGAAAUAGCUGCUUUUGAUAAAAACAUCCCACGUAUUAUGUGGGAACUCCUGGACUUAUCGUUGGACACACCCAAGCUGUGUCCUUCUUCUGUAUUUGUGUGAAGAGCUGCCUACAGAUGAUUACUGCACCCUUCCACGCCCCAGAAAUACAUCCACAAAAGAGGUGUAGGCAGAGCCCACAGUGUCCAGCUACCUGGUGUGGAUAAUCAGGGGCUGGAUCUGAGUCAGACCACACAGCCUGGCCACUACUGCCUGUAGAGGUGACCAGCCAUGCUCCAUGCAGGGCUUUAUGUUGCUACUCUUUAUUUAAUGCUAACACAAUCUGUGGGACACAUAUAUUCUAGGGACGCUGCCUGUGAAUGUAAAUGGGAUGUGCAAAGCCUUCCAAAGUGAGAGCUCCACUUUCCUGCAUAGUGCUACAUUUUUUGAAUUUAUUGUCUUGCUGAAUUACCAGUCAUUGAUAGUGAUUAAAAGCACCCAACUUGUAUAUCAGAUGCUCCAGCAACACAUCUCAAAAUGUUUCACCAAGCAACACAAAUCUCUUUUAUUUCCACAGCCCCUGGAAUUUCCCUAUUUCAAAUUUAGCUCAAUGUUUUAUAUGAUCUGAUACAAUUCAGGAGGAAAAGACAAAGAGAGAGGUCUUUGCCUGCUGCUGUAAUCUAGGAGGACAUCACUGCUGUAGCACACAGAUGGAGAACCUGCAAGAAGAGCGUGUGCAGCCAGGUCAGCGAAGAGAGAGCCAGCAGCUGUGUGGGCCCAGCCCCACACUCAUGCCCAGCUGCACUGAAACUGGCCUUGUCUUUGAGUAGGUGUAGAAAAAACUAAAUUUCACCUACCUCCUUAUGGCAGUGGGGGAGCCUCAGAGGGUGAUUCAUAGGACCUAAAUAAGGCAGUAAGCAGGCAGCUGCCUGGAGCUAGUCAAUAGGAACAUCAAGCACAGAAACGCAAAUGGAAUUUAGCCCCAGUUGUCUAAUAUAAAAGAUCUGCCAGGGACCAACUCACUGCUUGGGUGGUUCUUCUGAUGGUAGUUUGUGGUUUCAGUUAUUACUUUCAACAAAGGAAUGAGGAUAAUAAAGAUUUCUGAGUCUAAAUUAAUCUUGGGAGGCUUGUAAAAGUUAUAUUCUGUACCAGCUUUGUGUUAGGCACAAUCCAGUGGCUUUUAUUUGCCUUUAAAGCCUUGACUUCUGAGAUAUGCACAGUACAUAGAGAUAGCAGAUUCUACAAAAAACACAAGGAUGAAAUUCACAUUUAUUCAUUUAUUCUGUGCUAAAACACCAUGUCAAAGGCCUGUCAGGAAAAAGUUUCUUGAAAACAAAUCACCUCAGACAGAGCAGAAUCAGAAUUUUACUUUGCAUUUAGAGUCAGACACUGAAUUAAAAAAAAAAAAAAGGAAGAAGAAAAAAAAAUCUGUACUCACAUGACUAGCAAAUAGGCCAGAACAUUUUUUACAUAAAUUAUGCUCUUCUGUCAUCUAUUGUGAAACUAUGAAAACCUACGCAUGCUUGUAAAUAGAUCACACUUAGAUGGAAGGAGAUCUCUAAAUGCACUGUGACUCACACAGCAUAAAGAUGCAAGGAUGGAUUGUACACUGCACAGGGCUGGAGUUUCUUUCAGCAGUAUAUAUUCACAGACAUGUGGCUACAGUGUUACAGGGGAGCAUUGAUAAGAGCCCUGAGGAAGGAGGGUGGAUGUUUACUUGGUGGAUUUUGAGGAACAGAGACCCAAUCACCAUUUUACUUUCCUUCUCAGUAACUACUAAUCAAUCUAAUAAUUAUUAAUAGGAUAUUUGUAAAGCUCUGGAAGGUCUAUAUUUACAAAAUAAGGAGGGAAAAUAUAUGGCCAUCCUCAGAACACCAUACUGUAUAUGAAUCUGUUCACCAAUAUAAUAUAGGACAGCUUUUCUUCUUUUGAUUCCUUAAGGUUACGAAUACCCAAAAAUUAAUUGCUUACAGGCUUAAGUGCAUGCUAAGUGCUUUGCCCAGCUGCUGCUUUUCUUAAGUGCUUUGCUCCCUCCUCAGUAGCCUUUGGGCUCAAUUACUGAUCUGUUUUGCCCAUGAUUUUGGCCUUUAAUCCCACAGUCCAUGUCUGCAUGGCUCUGAAGGGUGAUGGAGUCAGCAGCCCCUGCAUUCUGGGUCCCUGGCUGCUGUAGUGACCACUGGCCACUCACUUCUGUUGGCUGGUGACCAUGUGGCUGUGUUUGGACUUGUAUUCCAGCAUCCCCCAGAGCAUGUGUGUGGGUUGUACCUCUGAUAUGUCAAAGAGAGUAGGAGGAAGGGUGGCUGGCACAGCCCUUCUGCAUGGGAGUCCUGAGACUGCUGCAAGACAGUGGAAAUGUAGUCCAAGACACGCAGAUCUUUAUUUGAAGCUUGUUUGAGCUGGGAGACAGGAAUUAUUCAUGACCUUCUGAGCAUUUAGAGUAUCAAAUGAGCUCCACUUGUCAAAACCAAAUACUUAAAGACAGCACUGAUAUUUUUUAUACAUUUUUCACAUUAUUCCACAGUAAUGAGGACUCUAAACAUCCAUUUUUUUAGAACUGAAAGAUGAGAUUUUUGGAACAUGAAUUUCUGGAAAAAUUGAUAAGAAAGUUGCCUGGAGCACUGAAUUUGGCCAGUGAGUAUAUUUGCAGGCUUUUGAACCAGAAUAGGGCAUCAUCAGCAAAUGGCUACAGGGGAAAACAAAGAACUUUGCACACUUCUAUCCUGGGAGCCUGCUUUCAGCCCCAUCCAUCGAUCAGCACAUGCUUGAAUGCUGCCUGUAACUGGACUCCAAAGCAACACAAACCAUUCACUCCAAGGGAGGAAAGGAACUCCUGAGACCUCUGAAUUUUGAGCAUCAAAUGCUAACAUCAUUAAUUGCUUCAAACCGAGUUAGCAAAGCCAGAGCUCUGCAAACCUUUGUGCAUGAACAGCUCACACUGAACUCAUUUCAGAAUGCUGGGGCAAGUCUACUUGGAAGGCCAGUAGAAUUCACUAGGCAAGUCAGUCACUGCCAAUUAUUCCCCAUGCUGUGAAUCUGAACACAGUCCUUAUGUUACAGAUUUCAUGAUCACAGCCCGUGCUCAAAAAGGCUUAGAAAUGCAAGGAACUGCUUACAGGCUCUGGCUCUGCACAGGGUUUUGGUAUGUGAAGGACACCUAUUUUCAUUGGAAGAGACUUGCCAGCAGCAAUUGACAAAUUUUGGCCCCAUUAAUUUUGUUUGUGUAAAGAAAAUUUUAAAUCUAUUCUUUGACUUAGAAAAUAACUGAGCAUGAGUUUUUAAUUCAUCUUGCCCUUCAAGGAGACAAAUUAAUGAACCCUGGCAAUACAUUAGUCCAAUUGCCUCUUUUCUCUUAUUGAAAAAAAAUUACAUAGAAAGAGGUUAAAAAAUGUUGUCUGCCCAUUCAGCUGGUGCUUGCAUUUCUGGAGUUAUGAGGUGUAUACAUUGUGAGCCUGGAGGGAUGCAGAAUUUUGAGUGCAUUUCAGUGCCUUCCGCUCAUUUUGCCAUUGAGAUAUUUGCUGACAACCUAAAAGGGUGGAGGCACCUCUGCAGUUCUCUCUGGAGGCUUUUAUGGUUUAUUUUGUGUUUGUGUUGUAUUCCAGGCUCACAGCUGUAAUUUUUCUACUGUUCUUUUGAUAUUAUUACUGGCAGAGAGUUCAUUUCCUCACCCAAACUGGUUGUGGCCUGCUUGCAGCCAUCCCCUAUGCUCACCACAUUUCAGUGCCUAAAGAGGCAUCCCACAGUCUGUGUCUGUGCCUCAUGAGUGGCAAAGGGGGAACACUCACCCAGCAGCCCUACUUGCCCCUGUUACAGGCAAGUGUCCUCUCUGGGCCCUGCGGGAAUGUGCAGCCCAGGGACCUUAGAGGUGGGCAGCAGAGAUCCCACAGUGUCCCCACGGGGAAGGCAGGACCACCACCAGCUGUCACAGGGAGAUCUGGCACAGCCACAGGUUGGGGACAAGUGACUUGUGCUUCCCACAGGCCAGGCACACCACUCAUAGCCCACUGCUGGUGGAAAGGGCUGCUGUCCUCUGCCCAAGCCCAUCCAGCAGGAGCAGCUCAGAGUCAGGGGAGCUGGCCAGGAGCCUUUGCCCAUUUCCAUACAAGCCCUGCCACCCCAGCCUGCGCUCUCAGGCUUUCCCGCUGUUUUCAAGGAUCCUGCGUGAGCUCCCCCCACGUCACUCAUGCUCUGGGGCCAGCUCAAGGAGGAGCUGGUUUGGCUCCAGCCAGGGCCACGGCUGAAACAGCCGCACCCUGGCCUGCACCCAGCUGGCAUGGAGCUGCUCCCUGAGUGUCCAUGAGCACAGAUCUGGCCUAAAAACAGCCUGCAGAUACAGCCAGACUGUGCUCUUACCUGGCUGGGAGGAACGCCCAUGACAAGGUAGUUCAUUAAUCCCCUGUUGCUUGCCAUUUGGAUUCUUGCCAUAGCAUUUGAAUCACCCAAAGCUGUCAAACACUCAGGAGAUAUACUGGAAAAUAGAAAUAAUUAAAUUCGUUUAAGUAGGAGAUUUUAAACAGAUCAAUCAAGGCCUUCACUGUUGCUUUAUUUCUCUGUUUUCUGAAGCAUUAGGAUGUAUGUGCUUCAUGUUCUGAGUCCUUUCUCUACUGUCCUUCCUUUUAAAGAAAGCCUAAGGUUUUCACUCUCAUACUUUCCUCUGCAGCUUUAAAAAAAACCCCCAAAACAGUAAACAAAUUUCAUGAGAUUUGUGUUAAAAUCAGUGUUGGCACCACCGUCUCAUUUGUCGAGUUUUUCCAUGACACGGAAUAACUUUGCUACUAACGCAGAAUAUGGAGAAAUCAGUAGUUUAUUCACAGAAUCACAGCCUGGUCACCAACUGCCCUUUAUCCCAGGCUUUUAUUAUAUUGUUAGACAAAUUCCCUUGGCUAUCAUUUGGAUGAGAAAAAUGAACCUUUGCUUCAUGGGUGCACAACUUUUUUGAGCAGAUAAGCCACUGACAUCAUCCUGUCAUGACCCCUCUAAACCUCUCCCACAGCCCUCACACCACAUUUUCAAUUGAAGAAAAGCUCUCAACACCAGAGUUCCUCUGCACAGAGCUGAGCUCUCAGAAGAAGUACCACAUUGAUUUAUACAUAUAUAUAUCCUGUAUUGUCAACACAAGGGUAUCACAUCCUCUAGAGAAGACAGCAUUCAGUGCUGAAUAUCCACUGUCAGCAAAGUACUUUUGAACUUUCUGUGAGGGUUUUUUUUUUUAAUUCCCCAGACUUUUCCUAGAGAAAUAUAAAUGAACACGGUGUAAAAUUUCCAUAUUUUAAUAGCAUCCAUUUUAUGUUCAGGCUAAGGACUUGGAAUAAUCGAGUUAGUUUCAUUUCUGUUUAUUGCUCAUUUCUGCUCAAUUUCCUCUCACUGCCUUUCCCACAGUAAGCCAGCAUGGCAGGGCUCGCUGGCUGCAGAGUAUACAGGAAAAUGGUUAAAUUGAGUUAAAAUAUGUUUCACUAAAAAUACACUCACAGUUCAUACAAACCUAUUUAUUGAUCCCCUUUUCAAAAAGCUUUACCUGUGACCUAACUGCAUAAGACUACAACCCUGUAAGCUUUAGAUAAUUUAGAUUUUCCCAGAUAUUGCCUACUGUCUGUUUCUAAUUCAUAAGCGUGUUUCUGAUCUAUGACAACUGGCUGUUUUAUUUUUAAUAUCAUGGCAGCAAUAAAGGGUGGCA